GAUGAACGCUGGCGGCGUGCCUAAUACAUGCAAGUCGAGCGAAUGGAUUAAGAGCUUGCUCUUAUGAAGUUAGCGGCGGACGGGUGAGUAACACGUGGGUAACCUGCCCAUAAGACUGGGAUAACUCCGGGAAACCGGGGCUAAUACCGGAUAAUAUUUUGAACUGCAUGGUUCAAAAUUGAAAGGCGGCUUCGGCUGUCACUUAUGGAUGGACCCGCGUCGCAUUAGCUAGUUGGUGAGGUAACGGCCCACCAAGGCAACGAUGCGUAGCCGACCUGGGAGGGUGAUCGGCCAGACUGGGACUGAGACACGGCCCAGACUCCUACGGGAGGCAGCAGUAGGGAAUCUUCCGCAAUGGACGAAAGUCUGACGGAGCAACGCCGCGUGAGUGAUGAAGGCUUUCGGGUCGUAAAACUCUGUUGUUAGGGAAGGACAAGUGCUAGUUGAAUAAGCUGGCACCUUGACGGUACCUAACCAGAAAGCCACGGCUAACUACGUGCCAGCCGCCGCAGUAA
rnacentral:rRNA from 1 species